GCAGGUGUGGUGUAAUGGUACACUGCUGUAUAUCAUGUUACAAUUGUGCCUAAACUCCCAACAGCAGACCUGGGUUCGACUCCCGGCGCCCGCA